AGGGUUAUAGUUAAUUAUAACAUUUGAGUUGCAUUCAAAAAAUAUUGAUAAAAUCAAUCAACCUUA
rnacentral:tRNA from 1 species